rnacentral:misc_RNA from 1 species
AACGAGGCCGACCUGCGGCUGAGUUACCUGCGGAAGGAUCAUUACCGAGUUUACAACUCCCAAACCCCUGUGAACAUACCUAUACGUUGCCUCGGCGGAUCAGCCCGCGCCCUGUAAAAAGGGACGGCCCGCCCGAGGACCCUAAACUCUGUUUUUAGUGGAACUUCUGAGUAAAACAAACAAAUAAAUCAAAACUUUUAGCAACGGAUCU